CUACUGUGGGGCGAUCUGCCUGCAACAUCUGUUGCCCACUUGAGCAUCAGGGUUUGUUUGGCCCAUCUGGCUGGCUAGGCAGGUGUCUCCUUCCCUCAGUGUUCGAAGUACGUCCCUCCUGAAGAUUCAUACUUGGUCAACAGGAUGACUUCCUCAGCAGAAGAGGACCAUUUUUUUCUUGUCGUUGUUGUUUGUUUUUUAAUGACAGAGAGCUAGAGAGAUGGCUUAGCAG
rnacentral:sRNA from 1 species